GACGAACGCUGGCGGCGUGCUUAACACAUGCAAGUCGAACGAGAAUCAAUGGAUAGAGGAUUCGUCCAAUUGAAGUUGAGGAAAGUGGCGGACGGGUGAGUAACGCGUGAGGAACCUGCCUUUCAGAGGGGGACAACAGUUGGAAACGACUGCUAAUACCGCAUAACGCAUAACCGGGGCAUCCCGGAUAUGCCAAAGAUUUAUCGCUGAAAGAUGGCCUCGCGUCUGAUUAGCUAGUUGGUGAGGUAACGGCCCACCAAGGCGACGAUCAGUAUCCGGACUGAGAGGUUGACCGGCCACAUUGGGACUGAGAUACGGCCCAGACUCCUACGGGAGGCAGCAGUGGGGAAUAUUGGGCAAUGGGCGCAAGCCUGACCCAGCAACGCCGCGUGAAGGAAGAAGGCUUUCGGGUUGUAAACUUCUUUUAAGGGGGAAGAGUAGAAGACGGUACCCCUAGAAUAAGCCACGGCUAGCUACGUGCCAGCAGCCGCCGUAAGAC
rnacentral:rRNA from 1 species